GAUGAACGCUGGCGGCGUGCCUAAUACAUGCAAGUCGAGCGAACGGACGAGAAGCUUGCUUCUCUGAUGUUAGCGGCGGACGGGUGAGUAACACGUGGAUAACCUACCUAUAAGACUGGGAUACCUUCGGGAAACCGGAGCUAAUACCGGAUGAUAUUUUGAACCGCAUGGUUCAAAAGUGAAAGACGGUCUUGCUUUCACUUAUAGAUGGAUCCGCGCUACAUUGGCUAGUUGGUAAGGUAACGCCUUACCAAGGCAACGAUGCAUAGCCGACCUGAGAGGGUGAUCGGCCACACUGGAACUGAGACACGGUCCAGACUCCUACGGGAGGCAGCAGUAGGGAAUCUUCCGCAAUGGGCGAAAGCCUGACGGAGCAACGCCGCGUGAGUGAUGAAGGUCUUCGGAUCGUAAAACUCUGUUAUUAGGGAAGAACAUAUGUGUAAGUAACUGUGCACAUCUUGACGGUACCUAAUCAGAAAGCCACGGCUAACUACGUG
rnacentral:rRNA from 1 species